GAAUUUUCCACAAUGGGCAAACCCUGACGGAGCAAUGCCGCGUGAAGGAUAAAGGCCUAUGGGUUGUAAACUUUUUUUCUCAGAGAAGAAUUUUGACGGUAUCUGAGGAAUAAGCAUCGGCUAACUCUGUGCCAGCAGCCGCGGUAAGACAGAGGAUGCAAGCGUUAUCCGGAAUGAUUGGGCGUAAAGCGUCUGUAGGUGGUUUGACAAGUCUU
rnacentral:rRNA from 1 species